UGGGGAAUUUUGGACAAUGGGGGAAACCCUGAUCCAGCCAUCCCGCGUGUGCGAUGAAGGCCUUCGGGUUGUAAAGCACUUUUGGCAGGAAAGAAACGUCAUGGGUUAAUACCCCGUGAAACUGACGGUACCUGCAGAAUAAGCACCGGCUAACUACGUGCCAGCAGCCGCGGUAAUACGAAGGGUGCAAGCGUUAAUCGGAAUUACUGGGCGUAAAGCGGGCGCAGGCGGUUCGGAAAGAAAGAUGUGAAAUCCCAGAGCUCAACUUUGGAACUGCAUUUUUAACUACCGGGCUAGGGUGUGUCAGAGGGAGGUGGAAUUCCGCGUGUAGCAGUGAAAUGCGUAGAUAUGCGGAGGAACACCGAUGGCGAAGGCAGCCGCCUGGGAUAACACUGACGCUCAUGCACGAAAGCGUGGGGAGCAAACAGG
rnacentral:rRNA from 1 species